UUUAGAUUGCAGCCUUGAUUGCACUUUUGUUAAAAGAACUGGUAGUAUUCACAGCCUUAAAAGCUCAAGUGGUGUGCGUUUAGUUGAAUGUUCCAACAGAGCUCAGUUUCUUCUACUUGUGGCUGUUGAAGCAGGCAGACCCCGGGUGAUUCAGUCUGGACCAAAAAAUUAAGGAAAAAGUCUGCUGACACAGGAGGGAAAUGUGCCAGGCUGAUUUAGUAGGUUUUGGAGAAAGGAUUCAAGAAAAAAAGAUGAAGAAUCAUUCAUUCCUGAAACUACAGCUGACCUUAUGACUCCAGAGGAAAAAGAUAAACUCUUUCCUGCUAUUGGUUAUAGUGAGAACACUUUAACUUAACUUUACCCAAGCAGUAUGUUGCCCACAUAAUGACCCUGAAGUUAGUAAGCGCCUCUGUCACACUCAGAGAAAACAAAAAUAUUCCAGAAAUACUAAAAUUCAGAUAAUUGACCUGGGCACCCAUGUAUCUCAGCGACCAGGAGCACAAGCUCUAAGACAACCAUCAAUGCAGUGCUUGAAUUCUUUCGAUCAAACAAGGGUUUGGAUCUUGAGCAAAUAACAUCAGCUACGUUGACAAAGCUGGAAGAAGUUAAAGCAAGAACAGCUAAGGACUUACACAUAUUAUUGAACCUUGAAAAGUCCUUGAUUUAAGGGUCAAUCUAAAGCCUUGUCUGGUAAUUCCUCAGACAGGUUUUCACCAAGAAAUGUCAGAUAUUCUGAUUUUAGAUUUUGGUACACUUCAGCUCAGCAGUAAUGAUUGAGGUUUAUGGGAGACUACUAAUUUAUGUAUGGAAGAAAUAAUGAAGCAUAUGAAAGUUUGAUGUGCAGCUUCAAAAUAAAGACUGAAAUAAAGACUGUGCAGCUUCUCUUCAUAAGAUCAGGUAAACCAAUGUUCAACUUUUAGACGUUCAAAUUAGUUUGAGUAGUAUUGGUAAUAUAUGUGCAUAUAUUUGCACAUGUAUAUCAACCCUGAUGACUAUUUUACAUACAUAUCCUGCUGGUCACUUUAGAAAAUCAAAUGGGGGCGUACCAGUGCAAACACUGUCACCUUUAUAGAUAGAAAUAGAAAUUUGGUUAUUCAUAUUAGGGUUCUGGUACCAUUUGAAUCUAAGCCCACUCAUGGUCUGUGUCUUUGUAAUGUGACUAUGAAACCACUCAGACAUAAAUGGAAGUCUCAGUUGGUUCAACUACCUCUGUCCUAAUCCUUUUGGAAUGUUUCUUCCCUCACUGUUUUUAUUGUUAAAUAUUACUAUAUGUUAGUUUACCCUUUAUUUCUGUAGUACUACAUUUGCUGUUCUGAGUAUGU